GUAGGUGAACAUGCGGAAGGAUCAUUA
rnacentral:ncRNA from 2 species